rnacentral:rRNA from 15 species
GUCAACCAGUACCGUGAGGGAAAGGUGAAAAGAACCCCGGAAGGGGAGUGAAAAGAACCUGAAACCGUGUGCUUACAAGUAGUCAGAGCCCGUUAAUGGGUGAUGGCGUACCUUUUGCAGAAUGGACCGGCGAGUAAUGAUCCCAUGCGAGGUUAAACCGAAGAGGUGGAGCCGCAGCGAAAGCGAGUCUGAAUAGGGCGCGUAGUAUGUGAUUGUUGACCCGAAACCAGGUGACCUAUCCAUGUCCAGGGUGAAAGUGCGGUGAAACGCACCGGAGGCCCGAACCCACGUAUGUUGAAAAAUGCGGGGAUGAGGUGUGGAUAGAGGAGAAAUACCAAUCGAACUUGGAGAUAGCUGGUUCUCUCCGAAAUAGUUUUAGGACUAGCCUCAGAAGCUAAGUCUAAUGGAGGUAGAGCGACUGUUAGGACUAGGGCCCUUUACCGGGUACCGAAUCUUGAUAAACUCCGAAUUCCAUUACGACUCUUCUGGGAGUCACACUGUGAGUGCUAAGAUUCAUAGUGGAAAGGGAAACAGCCCAGACCAUCAACUAAGGCCCCCAAAUUCUUGUUAAGUGGAAAAGGAUGUGGGGCUGCAUAGACAGCUAGGAUGUUGGCUUAGAAGCAGCCAUCAUUUAAA